rnacentral:rRNA from 1 species
UACAGGGGGGGCAAGCGUUGUUCGGAAUUACUGGGCGUAAAGGGUUCGUAGGUGGCCACUUAAGUCAGACGUGAAAUCCCCCGGCUUAACCUGGGAACUGCGUCUGAUACUGGAAGGCUUGAGGAUGGGAGAGGGAUGUAGAAUUCCAGGUGUAGCGGUGAAAUGCGUAGAUAUCUGGAGGAAUACCGGUGGCGAAGGCGGCAUCCUGGACCAUUACUGACGCUGAGGCGCGAAAGCUAGGGGAGCAAACGGG